GAUGAACGCUGGCGGCGUGCCUAAUACAUGCAAGUCGAGCGAACAGACGAGGAGCUUGCUCCUCUGACGUUAGCGGCGGACGGGUGAGUAACACGUGGAUAACCUACCUAUAAGACUGGGAUAACUUCGGGAAACCGGAUCUAAUACCGGAUAAUAUAUUGAACUGCAUGGUUCAAUAGUUAAAGACGGUUUUGCUGUCACUUAUAGACGGGUCCGCGCCGCAUUAGCUAGUUGGUAAGGUAACGGCUUACCAAGGCGACGAUGCGUAGCCGACCUGAGAGGGUGAUCGGCCACACUGGAACUGAGACACGGUCCAGACUCCUACGGGAGGCAGCAGUAGGGAAUCUUCCGCAAUGGGCGAAAGCCUGACGGAGCAACGCCGCGUGAGUGAUGAAGGUCUUCGGAUCGUAAAACUCUGUUAUUAGGGAAGAACAAAUGUGUAAGUAACUAUGCACGUCUUGACGGUACCUAAUCAGAAAGCCACGGCUAACUACGUG
rnacentral:rRNA from 1 species